rnacentral:rRNA from 1 species
GCAUGCCAAGUAUUAAAGGCACUGCCUGCCCAGUGACAUCUGUUCAACGGCCGCGGUAUCCUAACCGUGCAAAGGUAGCAUAAUCACUUGUUCCCUAAAUAGGGACCUGUAUGAAUGGCUACACGAGGGUUUUACUGUCUCUUACUUCCAAUCAGUGAAAUUGACCUUCCCGUGAAGAGGCGGGAAUAUUUCAAUAAGACGAGAAGACCCUAUGGAGCUUCAAUUAACUAACUCAAUAAAGACAAACUACAGUCUACUCAGACAUAACCACUCUUUAUUUGAGCUAGCAAUUUAGGUUGGGGUGACCUCGGAGCACAAAAAACCCUCCGAGUGAUAAAAGUAUAGACUAACAAGUCAAAGCACCACAUCACUUAUUGAUCCAAAUUUUGAUCAACGGAACAAGUUACCCUAGGGAUAACAGCGCAAUCCUAUUUAAGAGUUCAUAUCGACAAUAGGGUUUACGACCUCGAUGUUGGAUCAGGACAUCCUAAUGGUGCAGAAGCUAUUAACGGUUCGUUGGUCACGAUUAAAGUCCU